UGCCUGCAUCCUAACCUCUGAUCGAACCCAUUCAAGGUAAAUUUCACCUUCACCACCUAUUAUUUUUAAUCUUUUUUCAUAUUCUCUUGCUUAUCAUUCUUCAUUUCUUUUUUUAGUUAUUCUCCAUUCCAAUCCAAAACAUAAUCUUCUUCUCACCUUCUCUAUAGUUUAUUUUUUUCUAUUUUCCUUCCUUUUUCUA
rnacentral:lncRNA from 1 species